UAACACGUAAACAACCUGCCUUCAGGAUGGGGACAACAGACGGAAACGACUGCUAAUACCGAAUAAGUUCCAAGGGCCGCAUGGCCCAUGGAAGAAAAGGUGGCCUCUACCUGUAAGCUAUCGCCUGAAGAGGGGUUUGCGUCUGAUUAGCUGGUUGGAGGGGUAACGGCCCACCAAGGCGACGAUCAGUAGCCGGUCUGAGAGGAUGAACGGCCACACUGGAACUGAGACGCGGUCCAG
rnacentral:rRNA from 1 species